rnacentral:misc_RNA from 1 species
GAUGAAGAACGCAGCGAAAUGCGAUAAGUAAUGUGAAUUGCAGAAUUCAGUGAAUCAUCGAAUCUUUGAACGCACCUUGCGCCCUUUGGCCAUUCCGAAGGGCAUGCCUGUUUGAGUAUCAUGAACACCUCAACUCUUUAUGGUUUUCCAUGAUGAGCUUGGACUCUGGGGGUUUUGCUGGCUCACAGUCGGCUCCUCUAAAAUGAAUCAGCUUACCAGUGUUUGGUGGGUAUCAUGGGUGUAAUAACUAUCUACGCUUGUGGUUUUUCCACCAGGUAACCUUCAGCAGUGGAGGUUCGCUGGAGCUCAUAGAUGUCUCUCCUCAGUGAGGACAGCCCUUUGAAUGUUUGAUCUCAAAUCAGGUAGGACUACCCGCUGAACUUAAGCAUAUCAAUAAGCGGAGGA